rnacentral:rRNA from 1 species
CCUACGGGUGGCUGCAGUGAGGAAUAUUGGUCAAUGGACGCAAGUCUGAACCAGCCAUGCCGCGUGAAGGAAGACGGCUCUAUGAGUUGUAAACUGCUUUUGUAUGAGAGUAAACGCAGAUACGCGUAUCUGUCUGAAAGUAUCGUAUGAAUAAGGAUCGGCUAACUCCGUGCCAGCAGCCGCGGUAAUACGGAGGAUUCGAGCGUUAUCCGGAUUUAUUGGGUUUAAAGGGUGCGUAGGCGGUCUGUUAAGUUAGAGGUGAAAUUCCGAGGCUCAACUGCGGAAUUGCCUCUGAUACUGUUCGGCUAGAGAAUAGUAGAGGUAGGCGGAAUGUAUGGUGUAGCGGUGAAAUGCUUAGAGAUCAUACAGAACACCGAUUGCGAAGGCAGCUUACCAAGCUACUUCUGACGUUGAGGCACGAAAGCGUGGGGAGCAAACAGGAUUAGAUACCCCUGUAGUC